AUGGCGCACGCCGCCGCCGCAGCCGCCGUGCCGCUGCGCCGCCCGCUCCUCCUCUUCCUCCGGCCCGCCCGCCUCCUCUCCUUCGUCGCGCCCCGCUCGUCGUCCGUCCGCGCCUACACGCGCGCCCUCCGCCCCCUCGCCCCCCUCCCCUCCGACGACGAGGACCCGGACGACGGCGACGGCGCGCCCAGCCGCAACGAGAAGAAGCGGGAGGCCCGCCGCGCCGUGAAGUGGGGCAUGGAGCUCGCCAAGUUCUCCCCUCCCCAGAUCAAGCGCAUCGUCAGGGCCGCGUCGCUGGAGCGCGAGGUGGUGGACGCUCUCAUGCUGGUGAAGAAAUUCGGGCCCGAUGUGCGCGAAGGAAGGAGAAGGCAGUACAAUUACAUCGGAAGCCUACUUCGCGGUGCACAGCCUGAAUUGAUGGAAGAUCUUAUCCAUUCUUUGAAGAAUGGAGAUGAAAGCAGGAUACAAGCCUUAUUGAGUGAAGUGGCAGACAAAUCAAUGCCGAUUGAAGAUGAGGAAGUGGGAGAGUUACCUCAUGAAGAAGAGGAUGAGGGAAAUCAAGAGUAUAUGGAAAUUGCAGAUAGAUGGUUUGAGGGCCUCGUCUGCCAAGACAUUCCAGUUACCAACGAAGUUUAUGCGAUUCAUAAUGUUGAAUUUGAUCGUCAGGAACUACGGAAACUUGUGAGAAUAGUCCAAGAGGUCCAAAAAAGCAUGGGAAAUAAAGAUAGCGGAGAAGGAUCUGAUAGAAAGCUUUCCAGGGCGAAGAAACCACUUAUCAUGUUCCUUCGCUCACUUGCAAAGAAGACACUUGAAUAG
rnacentral:rRNA from 1 species